rnacentral:sRNA from 1 species
CACAAACCAAAAGUAAUAAUUACAUCUUAAACAUGGAACUCUUGUGCUUACAGAUAACACUUACUUGUGCCUGGCUGUGCUGGAUGGUAUAUUCUGUGUCAUUUUUCUUCACGGGAGAAACAGCCCACAGAGCUCACCAACAAGUACUCCAAAACUAAGUAAGAGUUUAAGCUUUGAGAUGCAACAAGAUGAGCUAAUCGAAAAGCCCAUGUCUCCUAUGCAGUACGCACGAUCUGGUCUGGGAACAGCAGAGAUGAAUGGCAAACUCAUAGCUGCAGGUGGCUAUAACAGAGAGGAAUGUCUUCGAACAGUCGAAUGCUAUAAUCCACAUACAGAUCACUGGUCCUUUCUUGCUCCCAUGAGAACACCAAGAGCCCGAUUUCAAAUGGCUGUACUCAUGGUAAGCGCAUUAUGUUGGAGGAGCAACCCCUAUUUAGCUUUUUCCUCGUAACUUCAGGAUGUUAGAAAUUCUCAUCUCUCACUUUUGGCAUAGGGCCAGCUCUAUGUGGUAGGUGGAUCGAAUGGCCACUCAGAUGACCUGAGUUGUGGAGAGAUGUAUGAUUCAAACAUAGAUGACUGGAUUCCUGUUCC